rnacentral:tRNA from 1 species
AGGGAUAUAACUCAGUGGUAGAGUGUGUGCUUAGCAUGCAUGAGGUCUCGGGUUCGACCCCCAGUACUUCCA